UUUAUUUAUUAAAUUUUGAAAACCCGGCUAAGUGAAUCAUAGAAUGUUAAGCACUACACCAUGACUUAAGAUUAGAUUCAAGGAGACCUAUUGAGAAUAGAUUUCUUGUAGGCUUUGAGCAUCAGGAGGAUUAGCACUGCUAUUCCGAUUCAGAGAUAAGGUUAAACGACAGGCUUUGCCUAGACAGGUUGGCUGGCUGGUGCUGACGGGACGGAGCUGAGGCUAGAGAUAAAUUCCUAUGUUAGACUUCCGCUGUAGCAAUUACUCAUAUCAGUCUUUUGUUUUUCCCAACUUAAGAUCUUCAUGUUAAAUUUCAAAUGAUAUAUUUGACCGAGCUUAGACUCUUCACUACUAAAUUUAUGCUAAUGAAUGUCAGUUGUCAGAA